rnacentral:rRNA from 1 species
UACGGAGGAUCCGAGCGUUAUCCGGAUUUAUUGGGUUUAAAGGGUGCGCAGGCGGGAAAUUAAGUCGGCGGUGAAAUUUUGCGGCUCAACCGUAAAAGUGCCUUCGAAACUGGUUUCCUUGAGUGUAGAUGAAGUAGGCGGAAUUUGUUGGUGUAGCGGUGAAAUGCAUAGAUAUCACGAGGAACUCCGAUUGCGCAGGCAGCUUACUAAACUAACUACUGACGCUCAGGCACGAAGGCGUGGGGAGUCAAACAGGAUUAGAUACCCGCCGUAGUCCCUGA